GACGAACGCUGGCGGCGUGCUUAACACAUGCAAGUCGAACGGGACAUUUUAUUUCGGUAAGGUGUCAAGUGGCGAACGGGUGAGUAACACGUGGGCAACCUGCCCUUCAGACGGGGACAACAUUCCGAAAGGAGUGCUAAUACCGGAUACGCCCGCACCUACGCAUGUAGGUGCGGGGAAAGGAUGGCCUCUAUUUAUAAGCUAUCGCUGAAGGAUGGGCCUGCGUCCGAUUACCGCUAGUUGGUGAGGUAACGGCCCACCAAGGCGAUGAUCGGUAGCCGGGUCUGAGAGGAUGAACGGCCACAUUGGGACUGAGACACGGCCCAGACUCCUACGGAGGCAGCAGUGGGGAAUCUUCCACAAUGGACGAAAGUCUGAUGGAGCAACGCCGCGUGAGCGAUGAAGGUUUACGGUCUGUAAAACUCUGUUGUUCAUGACAACGUCUCUGAGGUGAAUAAUCUCAGGGAGUGACGGUAGUGAACGAGGAAGCCACGGCUAACUACG
rnacentral:rRNA from 1 species